rnacentral:misc_RNA from 1 species
GUCUGAACGAGUCUCCGCUAUUUCCGUUUCGCUCGAUCCAAAACCUUCCCCUUAUUCUUUUUGUCUCAAAACCCUCUCAGAAUCCUUCAAGAUUUUCCCGAGAAACAAACGCAUUUUCUCUUUNNNNNNNNCCUUCUCGCUCUUCCUCUCUCUUUCCUCAACUUCUUACUCUCUCUCUCCUCUUACCCGAUCAAGUCACAGAUUUUCCACCUCGAAUUACUCGCCUCCCGUGCCCCUACUCGCUUCGAAGCUCGCCAGGUCUGGAAAGAGUCACGCGAGGUUGCUCUCUCUCUCCUCC